UGGGUGAUCUGCCUUGCACUCUGGGAUAAGCUUGGGAAACUGGGUCUAAUACCGGAUAGGAACCGUCUUUAGUGUGGUGGUUGGAAAGUUUUUCGGUGCAAGAUGAGCUCGCGGCCUAUCAGCUUGUUGGUGGGGUAAUGGCCUACCAAGGCGUCGACGGGUAGCCGGCCUGAGAGGGUGUACGGCCACAUUGGGACUGAGAUACGGCCCAG
rnacentral:rRNA from 1 species